AUCCAGCUGACGAGUCCCAAAUAGGACGAAGUGAUGCGCAACCUGGAU
rnacentral:hammerhead_ribozyme from 1 species